rnacentral:rRNA from 1 species
AUUGAACGCUGGCGGCAGGCUUAACACAUGCAAGUCGAACGAGUGGCGGACGGGUGAGUAAUGUCUGGGAAACUGCCUGAUGGAGGGGGAUAACUACUGGAAAGGGUAGCUAAUACCGCAUACUAUUAGAGCUGCCCAAAUGGGAUUGGCUGGUUGGGGGGGUAACGGCUCACCAAGGCGACGAUCCCUAGCUGGUCUGAGAGGAUGACCAGCCACACUGGGACUGAGACACGGUCCAGACUCCUACGGGAGGCAGCAGUGGGGAAGAUUGCACAAUGGGGGCAAGCCUGAUGCAGCCAUGCCGCGUGUAUGAAGAAGGCCUUCGGGUUGUAAAGUACUUUCAGCGGAGAAGCGUUACCCGCAGAAGAAGCACCGGCUAACUCCGUGCCAGCAGCCGCGGUAAUAC